CGGGGCUCGCUGUUACCUGCGGGAGGGCGGCGGGUGGCAGCCGGGGGUCUUGGCUCCGGUCCCCUCUUCGCCCCCUGUUGACACCAGCCACCCUCGCCUCCCCCGUGAGGCUCUGGCCACUACACCCACAGUCUUCCGAGGUCUGGUCCCUCUGACACCAUAGAGACAGGUGCGGAAACCGGACAGAACAGCAGCCUCCAGCCCUCCGACGCCACCACUGAGAGGAACGAACCCGGAACCGAGCUAGAGCGGCCACACAGCGCUCCUCAGGACGGUGCCAUCUUGAGUGUGGGCGCCGCGGACUGACCUCGCGUUUCACUCGCUCCUCCCAGCGGCCCAGUUGGUCUGCGAAGAUGUCCCCUCCCUUGGCCGUCGACUUGAAGGCGCAAUGUAAAUACUCCCACCAUGGCCAACUUCAAGAUACCAGUGUGACAUCACUGAAUGCAGAAUCAGGAAGAGAUGUGCUCCACCCAUUACAUGUAGACAUGCCUUCAGAUUCCACACAUGGUAACAAGAACUUGAUCAUAGUUGGUGUCCAAACUCUCAACUCCAGCAAACUAGGACCAGACAUUGGAACCUCGUAUCCAGGGCCAUCUGUGGCAGCCCUUCAGAGACGUGGCUGGGAAGCAUGUGAGCCUUCCCCGGGUCACACCGUACAGUCUUCAUUGUGCAUCAUUUUCAAAACCACAGUGCCACUUCCUGACCAGAGCCCUUCUAGCUAUUGCCUUGUUUUACCUUUACGAAGACUAUUUUCAACCUUAUUGCUUAGUUUCUUCCAAUAUGCCAGGCUCCAAAGUCAGCAGACCUGAGUUAUGCCCACUUUUGCUGCUCACAUCUGGAACAUC
rnacentral:lncRNA from 1 species